rnacentral:pre_miRNA from 13 species
ACAUUAAAAAUGUUGGCCUUCUCGUCCCAGUUCUUCCCAAAGUUGAGAAAAGCUGGGUUGAGAGGAUGAAAAGAAAAAAAAA